rnacentral:ncRNA from 2 species
UACUAAGAAUAAUAUAUUGCCGAUAUAUUGCCGAAUGAAUGGCUCGGCAGUCUCUACGACAGUGCCGUAACUGUCACUAUUGGUGGAUGAUUGACAGCA